GGUAUUUAUUAGGUACUUCUGUGCUAUGAUAACAGUGUGCUUAGUGCGGGUUUCUUAACGUUCUCGAGUAUUACGCCAAUUUUGUAUGCAGUUGGAACAGCGCCCCUAGCGGUAAACGUACGCAAACGAUCCCAUUUCAUACAAAUAUGAGCUAACUUUUGCGCUAUCGAGAAUGUUAAAAAACUCGCGCUAAGCCGUGCGAUUCUGUAAGCGUUGUUUAACAAACUCGCACGUGAAUUUGGUGUGAGUUUUCAAAUUGGCAUUCUGUAAAUUUCAUUGCAGUGCCGAAUCUACACUAGCGCCCCUCGCGGGUGAAUUGAACUAGCAAACGUGAGUUUUUUUUACUAAAAUGUAUGAGUUGACGUUUGAAACGGCAUUCUGUAGUGUAAAUCACGUCGAAUUUCGGCAAGAACUUCGCAUCGCAAAAUCAUUUUAUUUGUCAAAUCAAAAGUUAGUGUUUUAAGUGUUUGUUGUGAGUGAGAAUAUACGAAAACGUUAUAAACCGCUGUUAAUUAUUAAAAAAAUACUAUUAAUUAACAAAAUUGCACUUUAAAAUAACUUUAUUCUUCAUCGAUAUUUUAUGGAGCGUAUGUUUUUAUUGAAAACAUUGUUGAAAAGGCUGACGCUACGGAUCAGCGUGAAAUGUGUCGACAAGCCUACGAAAUUCACAAUUUAUCACUUUUAACUUGAGAUGACGACUAUGUAAAAGUAUAAAGAAAGUGUAUAGAUUGUCGAAGGAUCAUAUGAACCAGUUAGGGUGUGAAUUACACCCUUUGACGAAGACCACUAAAAGCCAUUGAAAAGGACUUUCAACUCUUCUAAAGUUUCAGUUACUGUGCACCUUGUUUAUUUGGGCAAAUGAAGUUACCAAAAAAAUCAUAAAAGAAAAUAUAAGAACAUAUUUGUCCCAGAUAUCCCAGUGUAUAUCUGAGGUUGUGGAGGCUCUGAACAACCCAGCAACUAUAUAUAAAUAUUUAAGAUUCCCGCAGAAUGCUCAAGAAUGGCAAAAGUUGAAGGAAAACUGAAGAAAAAAGAAGAAGGUGGUUUAAACUAAAUAAAUAUUUUUUUUCUUCAUAAAAAAGUACCAAUAUUAAUCUAAUGCAAAAUAUUGCAGUUUUUGUAAAAAAAUUAAAAUCACUUUGGUUGUUGGGUGUAUUGAUGGGACGUUGGUGGCCUUAAAAAGACCUGCUACCAAUAAAAAAUGGUUUUACUGUCACAACGGCUAUCAUGCCAGAAAAUGUACAAUUUGUAAAGCCAUUAAUAUUUUUCGAAAUUCUGAUGAUAUGUAAUCCAUAAACGAAAUGUGUAUUAUGAACUAUGUAUUCAGAUUGUAUUCAUUUCAGUUAAAUUGAAUUGUGUAUAAUGCUUUAAAGUUAUUGUGAAAUUUAGUAUUUAUAAUAUUAAAUAAACUUUAUUCAGUUACAAAAUAAAAUCUACUAAAGAUUAGUCAAUGACAGCAAGUAAUGACCAUUAUAAUUAUUUAACAUCUUUUCAGUCUUUCUGUAUAUGCUCAACGUUCCAACCUUAUGACACCUUUUGCUAAUUUUUUUUUCAUUUCACCAUCUAAAUGGUUAGACGAGCUCACAGCCCACCUGGUGUUAAGUGGUUACUGGAGCCCGUAGACAUCUACAACGUAAAUGCGCCACCAACGUUGAGAUAUAAAUUCGAAGGUCUCAGUAUAGUUACAACGGCUGCGCCACCCUUCAAACCGAAACGCAUUACUGCUUCAGAAAUAGGCGAUAAUGCUAUGCUAGCUAAUACCUGCUAAUAAUGGCUAGCUAAUGCUAAUACGGAGAGAGAUACUCCUGAAGCUUUGUAGCACCACCUUCAUUCCACUGCCCGUAACUCAGUGAAAAGAACAAUAGUUCUGUUAAAGAGUAGAUUCAGGUGUUUGCUGAUCCAUAGGGUGCCAAUUUAUCACCCUGAUAAGGUAGCAAAAAUAGCUGUUGCGUGUUGUGUUUUGCACAUUUGCAAUUGUGCAGAGCUGCCAGUUUCCAUAAUCUCAGAUUAUGAGAUUACAUUUACAUUAUGGUGGUCAUGUUGAAUUACUUUGUUAAAUUCUACUAAUUAGCUUACUUAUAGUGUGAAGUAACUUCAAAUAUAAAUUAAUGAUUUAUAAAAA